AGUCCGCCGCGCUAGUCAGUCAGCGGCGCGGGGCGGCGGGUCCCGCAUCCCCCGGCGGGCGGGCGCAGUGGCGCGGUCCCCUGCGCGGCCCUCCCCACAAAGGACCGCGGAGCUGCGUGGCCCAGUGCUCGCCCCGGGGCGGGCCGCGCCAAUUUGUUGCACUUCUGGGGGUGGGGGGUGGGGGAGGGCUUUUGUUUGUUUGUUUGUUUUGCCCUCGGGGUUUUGGCCGCUUUGCGGAUUUUUUUUUUUUUUUUUAAAAUAACAAAAUGUCGGUCGGUGAGGGAGGAAUUGAGCGGGGAACGUCGAUGGCACCGGGAGCUUUGCAGAAGGUGCAGUUUGGAGCCUGCCCUUCCCCGGGUGGCAGCUCGGGCUCGGCCCGGUGAAUCCUCGCCGCCGGCCGUGGGGACGGCUGUGGGGCGGCUGCCAGUUGAUUUUUUUUUUUUUUUUAAAUUCGAGUGCUGUGUUCAAAGGCUUUCGGUGCGCACGGGAGGACCCCGUCACCGUAAAUAAGCAUAUGGGCGACUAACGGGAAGUUUUCCCAGAGAUAAGUUCACCAAGAUGUCCAGUGACAGGCAAAGGUCGGAUGAUGAGAGCCCUAGCACCAGCAGUGGCAGUUCAGAUGCAGAUCAGCGAGACCCUGCCGCUCCAGAGCCCGAGGAACAGGAAGAAAGAAAACCUUCUGCCACCCAGCAGAAGAAAAACACCAAACUCUCUAGCAAAACGACUGCUAAGUUAUCCACUAGUGCUAAAAGAAUUCAGAAGGAGCUAGCAGAGAUAACCCUUGAUCCUCCUCCUAACUGCAGUGCUGGGCCUAAAGGAGAUAACAUUUAUGAAUGGAGGUCAACUAUACUUGGUCCACCAGGUUCUGUAUAUGAAGGUGGUGUUUUUUUUCUGGAUAUCACAUUUUCUUCAGAUUAUCCAUUUAAGCCACCAAAGGUUACUUUCCGUACCAGAAUCUAUCACUGCAACAUCAACAGUCAGGGAGUCAUCUGCCUGGAUAUUCUGAAAGACAACUGGAGUCCUGCUUUGACUAUUUCAAAGGUUUUGCUCUCUAUUUGUUCCCUUUUGACAGAUUGCAACCCUGCGGAUCCUCUGGUCGGAAGCAUAGCCACUCAGUAUUUGACCAACAGAGCAGAACAUGACAGGAUAGCCAGACAGUGGACCAAGAGAUACGCAACAUAAUUCACAUCAUUUGUAUGCAGUGUGAAGGAGCAGAAGGCCUCUUCCCACUGUGCUGCGGAUCUUUAUAGCCUUUACAAUACGGACUUCUGUGUAUAUGUUAUACUGAUUCUACUCUUGUCUUUAUCCUUUGGAGACUGGGAGACUCCCCCAAAAGCCCUAUUUAAAUCCAGUGCUUGGUUAUCCCUUACCUUCAAGAACCUUGUUGAAAGAAUACCUUCUUGUCUAUACAGACUCCAAUCCAUCCUUCACACUUCUCCCCCAUACAAGCUCCAUCUGGCAGUUCUUAAUUCAUGACUUCAGGGGUUGCCUGGUUUUGAACAGGUGAAGUCUACACUCUGCAAAAGCCUUGCUUUCUGUCACUGUACCAUUCUGUAAUGAAGCAGCAUCCAUGAGCUCAGUAGCCCCAGAUGUUUGUUUUGCAGUGAAAUUCAAGGGUCACUUUUGCUACCGGCAACAUUGCAAAUACUUGCUCAAAAAACUAAUGACAGUGAUACAUUGUGAAUACUUGCUAAUCUCCAGACUCUUCUUCAAGGCUUACUGCUGUUAAUAACACUGCAGUCCUUGGAUUCUCUGACAUCUCUGUACUUCCCUUGGAGUAGUUAAACAUUGAUGUGUGUAACCCUGUGAACCCUAGCAUGUGUAACUUUCUGUUAAACACCUUUGCUAGGCACAUUCAUAGUUUAAAUGUGCACUUGGUGCUUUGAAACAGAUGGUGAGGUGGCACAUUGCUGUCUGUACCUAAGAGCAUUUGGCAGUGCUAAAAUUGAGCUUUCUGUUUAGUUCAAAAUAAUUCAGUGAUGAGUGGGCUACUUUGUACUUUUCUUCCCUCAGAUUCUGAGUAUUUGGAAGUCUUAGCUUCCAAUGACUCAAACUACAUAAAACCGUAUUUAACUAUGUAUAAGCACCUUCCUAAAAUGAGACUUUGUGAGUAGACAAGUACCUAGUCGGUGGCUAAGUCCUGUGUAUCAGUCGGCAUGUAUCACUUGUUCUGUCAUAAUGGUGUUUCUAGUGAGACUAGCAAGUGCUUGCUUCUAUUUAAUUGUGCACACAAAACCUAGGCUUAAAGGGAACCGUUCAUUAAACUCACGGUAAACUGAAAUGUUCAUAUAUUACUGAUGUGAUUUAAAGGAACAAAGUGCCCCCACCCCUGUUUCAGUUUAUUCCCCCUAGUGCCUCUCGGAUACUUUACUUAGACUGCACUCUCCAUAUAUGCCUGGGCUGGAGGAUCUCAGCUAACAGAAUCUCUCAAGUCUGUGUUUAUAGAAGGGCAUGUCACAGAUCCAUUAGCGUUUCUGAAGUCCAGUAACUUGGUAACUAAAAUUGGCAAUCCCUUUGUAUUUUGACUUGUAGAUUGUUAUAUCCUCUCAGUGUAUUUUUUUCCUCGUGUAUUUUCAAAGUAGGAUUAACAUAACCUAUUUAUCAUUCAGAAAUACUAGCUAUAAAUUAUCAUGGGAUUCCAAAAGCCCACAGGAAGAUACAGAGCUCCAGCAGGACUCCUGCAGAGAAAGUACAAACACAUUCCCGUUGGCACUGGGGUGUGGGUGUUGCCUGUGGUGAUGGUGGAUCAGGAGGUAUGAUUUAGGGAGGCACCACACUUGGGAAACCAGCCAACCCAUUUAAAUUCUGGUGAGAAAAAAAAGAAAAGAUGUACUGUUUUGAGCUUGGGUUAAAAAGAUUGUCUUGCUUGCUCUCAUUGCUGGAAGCAUAACGAGAUCAAUAAAGUUUCCUCUGCUUCUCUAA